rnacentral:rRNA from 1 species
UACGUAGGGGGCUAGCGUUGUCCGGAUUUAUUGGGCGUAAAGAGCGUGUAGGCGGCCAGGUAGGUCUGCUGUGAAAACUCGAGGCUUAACCUCGAGAUGUCGGCGGAAACCAUCUGGCUAGAGUCCGGAAGAGGAGAGUGGAAUUCCUGGUGUAGCGGUGAAAUGCGCAGAUAUCAGGAAGAACACCGGUGGCGAAGGCGGCAUCCUGGACCGACACUGACGCUGAGGAGCGAAAGCCAGGGGAGCAAACGGG